AGCGAACGCUGGCGGCGUGCCUAACACAUGCAAGUCGAACGUGAAAUGGGGCAACCCAAAGUAAAGUGGCGUACGGGUGAGUAACGCGUAGGUAAUCUACCGAAGAGUCUGGAAUAACCGGCCGAAAGGCUGGCUAAUACUGGAUAGAGCGACGGGACUCGUAAUCGGGUCUGUCGGGAAAGGGAGGCAGCAAUGUCCCUUGCUCUUCGAUGAGCCUGCGUCUCAUUAGCUAGUUGGUGGGGUAACGGCCCACCAAGGCAUUGAUGAGUAGCUGGUCUGAGAGGAUGAUCAGCCACACUGGAACUGAAACACGGUCCAGACUCCUACGGGGGGCAGCAGUGGGGAAUCUUGCGCAAUGGACGAAAGUCUGACGCAGCCACGCCGCGUGAGUGAAGAAGGCCUUCGGGUUGUAAAGCUCUGUCGGGAGGGACGAACAUCCAUUGGGUUAACAGCCCAGUGGACUGACGGUACCUCCAAAGGAAGCACCGGCUAACUCUGUGCCAGCCGCCGCAGUAA
rnacentral:rRNA from 1 species